AGAGCUUAUGGUGGAUUGUCA
rnacentral:miRNA from 1 species